AAGGUUUUUACCAAAUUUGUUUAAGUAAACUCUGGGUAUGAUUGACCAAUUUUCACCAGAAUUUUGUUUAAGUUUUAAAAUCCAGCGUAAUUGAAGUGCUUCGAGAUACAAAUCUAUAUCUAUCAUUUUUAACUCACCUUCUAAAUAGUCUUUACAAAGGGUUGCACGUUUAAUUUUAUCUUUUUUCCCAUUCCAUAUAAAAUU
rnacentral:lncRNA from 1 species